rnacentral:rRNA from 1 species
CUAAACGACUCACUUCGUCCGCGGGGGGGUGGAAAUGGGUCCGUUCCCUUGGGUUGCUCGUACCGUGGAUAUUCCGUUAACGUGGUGUUUAACGGGUAUGGGGUAUACUCCAAAGUCGGGUCUGGAUGUCUCCUAACUGAAAGUUGCGGCGCCACAGGAUGAUAUCUGCGGCCUUCUCUGGUAGUUGUUGGGGUAACGGCCCAACAAGCCCGUAAUCGGUACGGGUUGUGGAGCAAAUUUUUUACCCCGCUACCUGUAACACGAUUCCAGGCCCUACGGGGCGCAGCAUGCGCUAAAACUUUACAAUGCAGGAAACUGUGAUAAGGGAACCCCGAGUGCCCGUAAACGCGGGCUGUCCCGGUGUUUAAAAACACAUCGAUAAAAAGGGCCGGGCAAGACCGGUGCCAGCCGCCGCGGUAAUACCGGCGGCUCGAGUGUGACCACUUUUAUUGGCUUAAGCGUUCGUAGCUUGAUUUUUAAGUCUCUUGGAUUCUCACGCUUAACUGUGAGCGUCUAAAGAUACUGGAAUCUAGGACGGGAGUAGUAAGAGUACUUCAGGUAAAUGAAUUCUGUAUCUGAAGACACGAUGCAAGCACUUACAACGCUCAAGUGAGACCAAACUGGGAGCAAGAUAGUAACCGGUAGUCCCACCGUACA